GUGCCAAGGGAUAAAGGUAGAAAGAAACUUCAGACAGAUGAAAUCAUGUGUUUUCGUGCCUAGCUUGUGAUUUUAGGGCAAGCUCCUUGACAGCUACAUAUCUUCUCAGAGAGGUGGUUGUUCUUGGGUGAUAAAACCAUAGCUCCUGAGCAAUUCCUGGAAGUGAGGAGUACAUAUGACUUCAGUUCUCAGUGGCCUUGCUUAAAGUGACUGGUUCAGUGACAGAAUGCAGGCUUCACAGGCUGAAGACUCAGGCUUACUUCCUGGUAUUUAUUUCCAGGUCAAACAGAGAAAACAAGGUCAAGUGGAUAAAGGAGAAGUUUGAGAAUACCAAGAGCUGAUCCUAAUGCAAUUUGAAAUAGAAUGAGGCUGACUUAACUGUCUCCAGUCUAACUGAAGUUCUAGUAAACCACCUUGUUACCCA